GACGAACGCUGGCGGCGUGCUUAACACAUGCAAGUCGAACGGAAAGGCCCUGCUUUUGUGGGGUGCUCGAGUGGCGAACGGGUGAGUAACACGUGAGUAACCUGCCCUUGACUUUGGGAUAACUUCAGGAAACUGGGGCUAAUACCGGAUCGGAGCUCCUGCUGCAUGGUGGGGGUUGGACCGUUUCGGCGGUUGGGGAUGGACUCGCGGCUUAUCAGCUUGUUGGUGGGGUAGUGGCUUACCAAGGCUUUGACGGGUAGCCGGCCUGAGAGGGUGACCGGCCACAUUGGGACUGAGAUACGGCCCAGACUCCUACGGGAGGCAGCAGUGGGGAAUAUGGCACAAUGGGCGGAAGCCUGAUGCAGCAACGCCGCGUGCGGGAUGACGGCCUUCGGGUUGUAAACCGCUGGCGCCUGUGACGAAGCGUGAGUGACGGUAAUGGGUAAAGAAGCACCGGCUAACUACGUG
rnacentral:rRNA from 1 species